rnacentral:tRNA from 1 species
GGGACUGUCGUCUAGUUUGGACAAGGAUGCCAGCCUGGGGCGCUGGCGAUCGUGGGUUCAAAUCCCACCAGUCCCA